rnacentral:rRNA from 1 species
CAGCCGCCACGGGAAUACGAAGGGGGCUAGCGUUGUUCGGAAUUACUGGGCGUAAAGCGCACGUAGGCGGAUUUUUAAGUCAGGGGUGAAAUCCCGAGGCUCAACCUCGGAACUGCCUUUGAUACUGGAGAUCUUGAGUUCGGAAGAGGUGAGUGGAACUCCUAGUAUAGAGGUGGAAUUCGUAGAUAUUAGGAAGAACACCAGUGGCGAAGGCGGCUCACUGGUCCGGUACUGACGCUGAGGUGCGAAAGCGUGGGGAGCAAACAGGAUUAGAUACCCCAGUAGUCCCUGUCUCUUAUAC